CGGCACUUAGGUGGGAAAUGGUGGAGGAGGUCGCGGUUUUACCGUAUGUUCGAGCCCACCGGGAGGCGGUGCCGAGGGGGCGUUACAAGGUCAGCUGGAGGUCAGCGCAUUUUGCCCGGGAGCCUCCCCUAGAUCUUGACGCAGCCCCUAGGGCCAAAACCCUUUGGUUGAGAGCAUCCAGUCUCCACACAUGGAACACACACGCGAGGGGGGGGGGGUAGUCUUUCUUCCACAACUGCGAGCGAUGGCCUAGACCAGGUACACUAUGCCCCAUCCGGUAAGGAAGCCUGGCGGGUUGCCGCCAACCCCCGCGUAGCGGGGGCGGGAGACAGUUUUAGUGAGUAGGCCGUGGAAACCGCCCCUCUUCUAGGGGCGCCGGAAGCGGGAGUCUCACACUAUCUGGGCUAUCUUCCCAGAUGUCCGUUACUGGAUUUCUGUCUUCCUUAAACAAAACAAAAAAAAAAA